rnacentral:rRNA from 1 species
CGGCGGACGGGUGAGUAACGCGUGGGUAACCCGCCUCAUACAGGGGGAUAACAGUUGGAAACGGCUGCUAAUACCGCAUAAGCGCACAGUACCGCAUGGUACGGUGUGAAAAACUCCGGUGGUAUGAGAUGGACCCGCGUCUGAUUAGGUAGUUGGUGGGGUAACGGCCUACCAAGCCGACGAUCAGUAGCCGACCUGAGAGGGUGACCGGCCACAUUGGGACUGAGACACGGCCCAA